CCAAUAGCGUAUAUUAAAGUUGUUGCAGUUAAAAAGCUCGUAGUUGAAUUUCGAGAUCAAUUUGUUGGUCGUGCCUCGGUACGUACUGGCAAUUUUGAUUUCUCCCUUCUGAAGAACCAUGAUGUCAUUAAUUUGGUGUCAUGGGGAAUCAGGACCGUUACUUUGAAAAAAUUAGAGUGUUUAAAGCAGGCUCGCGCUUG
rnacentral:rRNA from 1 species